rnacentral:rRNA from 1 species
CAGCCGUAAACUAUGCGCGUUAGGUGUACUGGUGACCACGAGUCACCGGGGUGCCGAAGGGAAACCGUGAAACGUGCCGCCUGGGAAGUACGGUCGCAAGGCUGAAACUUAAAGGAAUUGGCGGGGGAGUACCACAACGGGUGGAGCCUGCGGUUUAAUUGGACUCAACGCCGGAAAUCUCACCGGAUAGGACAGACAUAUGAUAGUCGGGCUGAAGACUCUACUUGAUGAUCUGAGAGGUGGUGCAUGGCGUCAGUGACU